rnacentral:rRNA from 1 species
UACGGGGGGGGCAAGCGUUGUUCGGAAUUACUGGGCGUAAAGGGCUCGUAGGCGGCCAACUAAGUCAGACGUGAAAUCCCUCGGCUUAACCGGGGAACUGCAUCUGAUACUGGAUGGCUUGAGAUUGGGAGAGGGAUGCGGAAUUCCAGGUGUAGCGGUGAAAUGCGAAGAUAUCUGGAGGAACACCGGUGGCGAAGGCGGCAUCCUGGACCAACACUGACGCUGAGGAGCGAAAGCCAGGGGAGCAAACGGG